AACCUAGCACACCUGCGGCCUACCUAGAAUGUGGCUGAUUGUAAACUAACCCUUAACUGCAAGAACAUUUCUUACAUCUCCCAAACAUCCCUCACAGUAAAAACCUUAAAAUCUAAGCUGGUAUGUCCUACUCCCCAUCCUCCUCCCCACAACAAAACACCAGUGCAGGCCAACUUGUUCAGUGGAGCCCCGGGACAAAGCAAAUGGAAGUCCUGGGUGCUUCUGACGCACACCUAUUGC
rnacentral:misc_RNA from 1 species